AACGAACGCUGGCGGCAUGCCUAACACAUGCAAGUCGAACGAGACCUUCGGGUCUAGUGGCGCACGGGUGCGUAACGCGUGGGAACCUGCCCUUAGGUUCGGAAUAACUCCCCGAAAGGGGUGCUAAUACCGGAUAAUGUCUUCGGACCAAAGAUUUAUCGCCUUUGGCUGGGCCCGCGUUGGAUUAGCUAGUUGGUAGGGUAAAAGCCUACCAAGGCGACGAUCCAUAGCUGGGCUGGGAGGAUGAUCAGCCACACUGGGACUGAGACACGGCCCAGACUCCUACGGGAGGCAGCAGUGGGGAAUAUUGGACAAUGGGCGAAAGCCUGAUCCAGCAAUGCCGCGUGAGUGAUGAAGGCCUUAGGGUUGUAAAGCUCUUUUACCCGGGAUGAUAAUGACAGUACCGGGAGAAUAAGCUCCGGCUAACUCCGUG
rnacentral:rRNA from 1 species